AGGCCACAGGCUUCUCUCGCCUCUUUCCGGGUCUCACAUCACACCUGCUCAUGCUGCCAUGCUGGUUCCAAGUGCCUCUCUUCCGAGAUUACAUCAUGACCAGUGGGUUUCUCUCCUUUGGAGAGAAUGAGCUCUUCUAGCAGUAUCCCAACCCGCCAGGCUCCUGGGUGCGGAGGGUGCAGGAAGCUCUUCACGCGAUGCUGAGUGUGGCCCUGCCUCUCUUUCAUGGUUGCCUGGGUCUCCUGAUACCCUUCCGUGUGCCCAUCCACACCGUGGUGGGUGCCCAAUUCCAGUCCAGCGAAGCCCGAGGCCCAGCCAGGAUCAGGUGGAUCAGUUGCACCAGUUGUAUGUAUGUAGAGGGGCUCAUACAGCUGUUUGAGGGAUACAAGAAACGAUUUAGUGUCCCUGCUGAUCAACACCUUGUUCUCACCUAGGCAUGUCCGUGUCCCUGUGUCCUGGCCUUCCUGACUGCAGGGGUUGGGGGUGGGGGAUGGAAUUAAAUGUGGAAACAGACAAGAAG
rnacentral:lncRNA from 1 species